UACGAAGGGGGCUAGCGUUGCUCGGAAUUACUGGGCGUAAAGCGCACGUAGGCGGCUCUUUAAGUCGGAGGUGAAAUCCUGGAGCUCAACUCCAGAACUGCCUUCGAUACUGUAGAGCUUGAGUUCGGGAGAGGUGAGUGGAACUGCGAGUGUAGAGGUGAAAUUCGUAGAUAUUCGCAAGAACACCAGUGGCGAAGGCGGCUCACUGGCCCGGUACUGACGCUGAGGUGCGAAAGCGUGGGGAGCAAACAGG
rnacentral:rRNA from 1 species